CUGCAUUGGAAGGUGAAGUCUUAACCACUGGACCACCAGGGGAAUCCCAAAGGAAAGUCAUAAGAAACAAACAGCAACAAAACAGAAAGAGAACGACCACCCAGAGAACCUACUAUUAACAUAUUGGCCUAAAAACUUUCAAAUAUUUUCUUCCAUCAAGAAUGUACAUAGAGGCAUUCUUCCAUGUCAGUGCUUUUCAGGUUUCUAUUUCACAUUUUUAGAAGGAACAAGAAUGCAUGAGCCCCGUCCCUUGGAACAUCACAACACCAUAACUUCUUUGAUUAACACAUAUUUUAACCAACCUGAAAGUUCCCUUUUGUGAAGCUGAUUCUACUACAGCUGAUUCUACUACAGCUGAUUGUGCUAAACAAAUAUGAAACAGAAGAGGAGAGGACACAGAUAAAAAGGAGAAGAUGGUGUGAAAAUAGAGGCAGAGAUUGGAGUGAUGCUGCCACAAGCCAAGGAAUGUUUGGAGCCCCAGAAGCUGGAAGAGGCAAGGAAGGAUUCUCCUCUCCACCCCAGACUCUUCACCCAGAUCAUUGCUCUACCAACACCUUGAUUUUGGACUUCUGGAUUCCAGAACCAUAAGAGAAAAAAAUUCUGUUAUUUUAAACCACAAAGUUUAUGGUAAUUUGUUAUGGAAGCCCUAUAAAACUAAUAUAGGCAGAUAUUUAAGAAUAUUGCAGGGUCAUAUGGUACGUGAUCAUGUACCUGUAAAAAAAAAAACCUCCUAAACUGUUUUCCAGAGUGACUGUACCAUUUUAGAUAUCCCCACAGCGAUGUAAGAGAGUUGCAGUUUCUCCACAUCAUUGUCAACACUUGGUAUUGUCAGUCUUUUUUAUUUUAGGCAUUCUGUUGGUAAAGAUGAUGUUAGGAACUGAAUGACUGAGUCCUUCCCGAAUUCAUGUUAAAAUCUAAUCUCCAAUGUGAUGGUAUUUGGAGGUGGGGCCUUUGGGAGGUAAUUAGAUCAUGACGGUGGAGCCCCCAGAACGGGAUUAUUGCCCUUAUAAAAGAGACCAGAGAGUUUAAUAGCUCUCCUUCUGCACUGUAAUGAGCAGGUGGAGACGUUCACAGCAAAUUGCACUGAUUACUCAGUGAAACUAUGACAGAAUGUCUGUGUCCUAUAGGCUCAGGAACAUGGUGACAUUUUAUUUUGUCUAUUGCAUGGUAGAAAGAAAGCUUCUCAGAUAUGUGAAAUCCAGGAAAAAUGGUUGCUGUCACAUACUCCACAUACUCCAGUUUGCUGCCACUGCUAUCUUUUGAAGUACAAAGUAUUUGUGUUUGGUCCCAAAGAUGGAGGACAAAUUUGAUGCUACAGUUUUACUGAGAGUCAAUUUACACCAUCCACAGUCUAACUUAGAAAAAAAUCCAUCUUAACAGACAGAAAAGACAUCAUCAUAAAUAAUAAUCAAGUAACGAUCAAGCCUUUAAAAAGAGAGUAUUUAAUUGCCAAAAGCAAAUACCACUCUAAAUCAUAGCAACAAAUGCCCAAGGAACCCUCCAAAACCAAAACAGUAACUAUAGUACUUCUUGGCUUUCAGGGCCAACCCAAUUUUCCUCUUUGGCGUUAUACUCACUCACAGGGCGGGUAUAUUUGGCUGCUUAAAUACUGUGCCAUUUGCCAAUAUCUAUAAAUAGCUGUUUAUUAUUGAGUCUUCAGACAAUAACCUGCAAUUCUACAUCAUUUCCCCUUUUCAUUUACCAAUAUACCAUGUAGUGGGAAAAUAACUUUUUUAAAAAUUUCACGAAGAUGUCAGGAA